AAGCACUAUAUUAACAUUGGUGAUAGCCAAAUAAUAAAAUCAUUUCUAAUGUAUAUAGAUAUCGGAGCGUCUUUCUUAGAAAGAAAAAGAGAAAGGAAACCAAGAUCUGGUCGCCGCGACUAGAUCUUGAUCAUCUGGUUCUUCUGAUGGACGAGGUGAUAAAUCCUCAUAAAUCAAAUGCCUUCAAGUCCGUUUCAGAUUGUGUCCUUAUCUCUAGAAGUCAUCGAUUCAGAGCGACGAAGCUGCCUGCAAUCUCAGCUCCUUCUUGGUCCUUCUUCCUCACACCGGCUCAAUUCAAGUUUUUGUGACAGUCUAAAGAGAAUCAAAGAGGGUCUACAUUGGAGGCUUUUAUAAAAAUUGGUUGCAGCUCCUACAUUUUGAUUGUUAGUUCCCCAACGAUUUGUCCAAGUUGGAUUUGUUGCCAUGUUCAAGGUAUGCCUCCCUUUCUGUAUUUACAUUUCAGCUAGGGUUGUGGGAUUCAUCUUAUUGAGUAGUGAAAAGAGUGACAUUUGACUCUUUCAUCAUGUUCAUGAAUUUUUUAGAUCUGUGAAAAUUUUCCUUUUUAUUUUUUUAUCAUGUGAAUCUAUUUCACUGUUUCGCUGACUUUUUAGAGAAGAAGUUGAUAGUGGGAUAAUUGUUUUCUGACAUGUCUUUAUCUUCUGUGUUGGUAGCUUUAUCUAUUGCUGUUAUAUAGGGGUGAUAAUUUUUAUUGUGUAAUUCUAUCUCAAAUUACUGCGGCAUUCUUUUUUAUAAUCUAUUAUAUUGGUUCUUCUAUUGUUGUUCAAUUGGCUCCCAGAACUAAUCCCAGGUGAGUUCUAAUGCAUUGAUUUCUGAUUCUCAAUUUCUUCGUGAGAUUUGAUGAUUUUCAGGAAAAGAGUUGGUUAUUUGUGGUUUUGUGCGGAGUUAUACUUCUUAAUUUUUGUCUAGUAAAAUUUGGUUAAGUUUUCUUGGUAGUUUUCAUGUUUUGUUUGCUUAAAAUCUGAUUUUCUUAUAUGUUUUGAUGGCAUAGUGUUCUGAUUUGGUUUCUUGGCUAUUUGGGAUUUGCAGGGUUGCAGUUGGUGAUAGCACUUAUUGGUGUGAGUCGGCUGAUUUUCAGAUACAUAUCUUUCUUCCUUCUCAUUCUGCACAAGAUGUUCAUUUAUGAGUUCAUGCCUAAUGGUAAUGGUACCUAACGGAGAUGGGGAGAAUAUGGGCUUUACAACAUUUGAAGUUUAUACGAUGCCUUUCUGGCUGGAGUUUCAUCUAGCUAAUCCUGUUUGCUUACUUUGAUAUAAGUCACAAAUAAAAUCAAGGGAAGCCUGGACUUCAGUAUGAGUUUACGUAUUGCUUGGGUUCAACCAAAAGACUUCUUUAUCUCCAUUCCACUGAGAUAGGAAAGCCAUCAACAUAGUUUUGGACUUCAGUUUUUGAAUCGUACCAACAAGAGUUAUGGGAAUAUGCCUCUGUAAGGAGAAAGAUAUGGACU